UUCCGGUGGGAGGCGGAGGGUGGACGCGACGAGUGUGAAGUGUGUUGGCCGGCGUCGAGGCUUCGGGACGGCGUUUCCCGGGGUUGGCAGGUCCCAGGCUGGUUCUUCUUAAAGACGAGGCCCGGCACCGCGCCAGACAUGCGGCGUGUGUCACCUGCCUGCAGCGUCGGAGCCACCUUUCCCAUGUUGUGGAGCGCCCGCGACGUCCCCGGGAAGUGGGGCGGCUCGCUCGAGGUCACGCAGCGCUUGGUCGUGAAGCAGAGUUUCAGGACCGGCCUGAGACGUGGGGAGGCCGGGCUCUAGGCUGCCGUGGUUCCGGAGGGCAGAGGGGCGUGCCCGUAACCCGGGAGACUGAGGCUGGGCACUGCCAGGAGGGGCCAGGGCGAGGAAGGGCCGGGGCCGGACGAGGAGCGGGAAAGAUUCGUGGUUGCGUGGGUGGGGGACGGCAGAGGGAACGCUCACUGGAGGACCGAAGCGGCUGCCACAUGCCAGAUCUUGGAGGACCUCGAGUGCCGGAGGAAGGAAGCUGGCCCACAGGGGACCGGCUGCCACAACUGGUUCUCGAGCCCAACAAGACCAGCUGGGCCUCUCCGGCCCUCGCUUCUGUCUGGUGUCCUGCUCAUGGAAACUCCCGCCUGCACCUCUACACUCUGCUUACAGGGCUACGCAGGAGCCUGCACUAUUCUUAACGACUACGAUGCCCUGUUAGGUCCCUGGCAGCUCUGCAAACCUUUCUGUAGGAUUGGCACAUUCUAGAAACUUCCACCAAACCGUGACGUUUGAUCUUUGACGUUUGAUUCUGCUGGAGCUGGGGAUAGAAGCUGUCUCCCUGUCUGCACGUCACUGUCUUCUUUCUUUACAAGACUCCUGACACCACAAGAUCCCAGGGACACCAGGCGCCCGUGGAUGUGCUAGAAUGCCAACCCUCAAGUCUGGUCCCCACCAAAGCGGAGCUGUCCUGCCCUCACCUGGCACAGAGCUCCUGGCCUUUCUCAUGUCCUGGCUCACAGAGGACAGGCUGCUGUUGGUACAGCCCUUGGGGUAAAUGACCAGGGCUGCCCCUGGGGGUCAUGCCUAGCCUGGGGUCUCUGGCUGUCCUAGCGUUGCUCUGGAAGCCUCCAAGGGUCAACACCUGAGCCCACCUGAAAUGCAGCCACAUUAAAGAUGGGAAGCUUUGA